GUAGGGAAUAUUGGACAAUGGGGGCAACCCUGAUCCAGCGACGCCGCGUGAGUGAUGAAGGCCUUCGGGUCGUAAAGCUCUGUUGCAGGGGAAGAACACAAUGACGGUACCCUGCUAGAAAGGAUCGGCUAACUUCGUGCCAGCAGCCGCGGUAAGACGAGGGAUCCUAGCGUUGUUCGGAAUUAUUGGGCGUAAAGCGGGUGCAGGUGGCUUGGUAAGUCAGAUGUGAAAGCCUGGGGCUUAACCCCAGAAGUGCAUUUGAUACUGCUGAGCUUGAGUGCUAGAGAGGCUAGUAGAAUUCCUGGUGUAGUGGUGAAAUACGUAGAUAUCAGGAGGAAUACCGGAGGCGAAGGCGGAUAGCUGGCCAGACACUGACACUCAGACCCGAAAGCGUGGGGAUCAAACAGGAUUAGAAACCCUAGUAGUCC
rnacentral:rRNA from 1 species